AAUGAAAUGCCUGAAUAAAGGAUUAUUUUGAUAGAAUAAAUUAUGUAUUAAUAUACUUUCAUUG
rnacentral:tRNA from 1 species